GAACCUACCUUCAGAAUGGGGACAACAGUUGGAAACGACUGCUAAUACCCAAUGUGCCGAAAGGUGAAAGAUUUAUCGUCUGAAGAUGGGCUCGCGUCUGAUUAGCUAGAUGGUGGGGUAAGAGCCUACCAUGGCAACGAUCAGUAGCUGGUCUGAGAGGAUGAGCAGCCACACUGGGACUGAGACACGGCCCAGACUCCUACGGGAGGCAGCAGUGGGGAAUUUUCCGCAAUGGGCGAAAGCCUGACGGAGCAAUACCGCGUGAGGGAGGAAGGUCCUUGGAUUGUAAACCUCUUUUAUCAGGGAAGAAGUUCUGACGGUACCUGAUGAAUAAGCAUCGGCUAACUCCGUGCCAGCAGCCGCGGUAAUACGGAGGAUGCAAGCGUUAUCCGGAAUUAUUGGGCGUAAAGCGUCCGUAGGUGGUUAUGCAAGUCUGCCGUUAAAGAAUGGAGCUUAACUCCAUAGGAGCGGUGGAAACUGCAAGACUAGAGUACAGUAGGGGUAGCAGGAAUUCCCAGUGUAGCGGUGAAAUGCGUAGAUAUUGGGAAGAACAUCGGUGGCGAAAGCGUGCUACUGGGCUGAAACUGACACUGAGGGACGAAAGCUAGGGUAGCG
rnacentral:rRNA from 1 species